GCAAAAUGUGUUCCCAUAAAUGGCAGUUUCACUACUAAAUUCUGGGGAGAAACCAGGAGACAUGUAAGACAGACUCGCAUGGGGAAAAUGCAUCACGACCUACAUAAGAAUAGAGUCAACCAUGGGCAUGUGGGCCACAUGAUGGAAGGCCUCUGGAGGAAAAAAAGGAAAGAAACUCAUGUUAGUCAACAUCCAUUUUAUGCCAAAUAUCAAGACCUGUUUGCCUCAGAAGUAGAUUAGUGGAAUUCUUCAUCUGUUGCAUUAUUCUCGUUCUGGAAGGGAAAUCAUCAGGACAUC